rnacentral:ncRNA from 1 species
AUCUUCAGGGCAGGGUGAAAUUCCCGAUCGGCGGUACAGUCCGCGAGCCGCAAGGCAUGAUUUGGUGCAAUUCCAAAACCGACAGUAUAGUCUGGAUGGAAGAAGAU